GUGUGAGAGGUGGCCCACCAUCACCAUGGAUGAGAGCUGAUGGAGAAAGGAUAACUGAGUCCAAAGAACUGUGGAACUUCCCUCAGGGCUGGAAGGUCCCUGCUCCUUGCUAACUGCCCAGGGCCCCUUCCAUAGGUUAGAAUGUGGGACAACCCACCCAUAGCUGACUUAACAUGUAUCAGGAGUUCAUGCCUUCUUUAUACUGAAUGGUAACCCAUUGUAUGGAUAUAAUUUGUUUAUCAUCUGCCUGUUAAUGAAUAUUACACUGAGGGAGAGAAACCAGACCAAAAAAAAAAAAAUAGUGUAGACCAUGUGAUUCCAUUUGUAUGAAACUCUGGAAAAGACAAGUCUCAUUUGUAGUGAUAGAAAGCAGACAGAGUGGUUGCCAGGGACCAGGAGCAAGAAUGCUUUUGAGGGCGUGAGCCACCACACCGGCCAAAGAAUGCUUUUGAGGCUUCCAAAUGAAAGAAAUCGCUUAUGUUUGCUUUGGAUGAUUAAGAAAGUCUUCUUGAAAGGAAGGAGCAAAUACAAAGUUCCUUGAAAGUAGGAUUAAGAUUUCAGUAAGCAGAGAUGAAAGACAUUUCUAGAGCACAGAACAGCAAGAACA
rnacentral:lncRNA from 1 species